rnacentral:rRNA from 1 species
UACGUAGGGUGCGAGCGUUGUCCGGAAUUAUUGGGCGUAAAGGGCUCGUAGGCGGUUUGUCGCGUCGGGAGUGAAAAUCCAGGGCUUAACUCUGGACUGGCUUCCGAUACGGGCAGACUAGAGGUAUGCAGGGGAGAACGGAAUUCCUGGUGUAGCGGUGAAAUGCGCAGAUAUCAGGAGGAACACCGGUGGCGAAGGCGGUUCUCUGGGCAUUACCUGACGCUGAGGAGCGAAAGUGUGGGGAGCGAACAAG